CUGGUUCCGACCCAGGCGUCCGGCGCCCCCAGCCUUAUAUCUGGCCAGGACGCCCGGCUAAGUGCCCGCCAGUAUACAAAACUCAAGAAUUCAUUUUGUGAAGUCCGUGAUAUAUCAUUUAAUUGAUUAAAACUUUCAACAACGGAUCUCUUGGUUCUGGCAUCGAUGAAGAACGCAGCGAAAUGCGAUAAGUAAUGUGAAUUGCAGAAUUCAGUGAAUCAUCGAAUCUUUGAACGCACAUUGCGCCCUCUGGUAUUCCGGAGGGCAUGCCUGUUCGAGCGUCAUUUCAACCCUCAAGCUCUGCUUGGUAUUGGGCAACGUCCGCUGCCGGACGUGCCUUGAAGACCUCGGCGACGGCGUCCUAGCCUCGAGCGUAGUAGUAAAAUAUCUCGCUUUGGAGUGCUGGGCGACGGCCGCCGGACAAUCGACCUUCGGUCUAUUUUUCCAAGAAUGACCUCGGAUCAGUAGUAACCUAA
rnacentral:rRNA from 1 species